UGCCUUCUCUUCCGGCUAGAAAAGGCGCCACCGUGGCAGUAUUGGCGCCAACGUGGCGGUUUCGGUUCCGCAUAUCUCUGAUAUUUCCUCCUCUCGCCCAACACACCCUACCCAGUUACUGACUACGUAACCAAACCCCAUAGGCUCUCUCCCCGCUGACCUCAUUUCCCAUCCCCUACCCAAUAUAAGCUGCAACCCCGCUCAAUAAAGUGAGAUCCUGCUUCGACAGAUCCCCCGAGUCUGGUGUGGUUCGUUAAUGCGCCUGGACUCGCGACACUCGCCAUCCCGCUCAGCCCCAAGGGGAGCUACCGGCUGGCCCGGACGCUCUCCUCGUGCCUGUCGGCCCGCAAAACCUACCGGAGUCCGACAACUACACACGCCCUUUCCACAUGAUCCAGCAAGUGCACUCCUUGGUAUUUACCCACAAGGGCUAAAAACUCUUGUCCAUGCAAAAACCUGCACCUGGGGUUUAUAGAAGCUUUGUUCAUAACUGCCAAAAUUUGGAAGCAACCAAAAUGUCCUUCGACAGGGAACUGUCCUGGAUCAGAAAUGGAGAAGACCACAUCUUCCUUAUCGAUUCUUCCACUAUGGAGUAUUAUGCCUCCAUCAGAAAGGAUGAAUACCCAACUUUUGUAGCAACAUGGACGGGACUGGAAGAGAUUAUGCUGAGUGAAAUAAGUCAAGCAGAGAGAGUCAAUUAAUAUGGUUUCACUUAUUUGUGGAGCAUAACAAAUAUCAUGGAGGACAAGGGGUGUUAGAGAGGAGAAGGGAGUUGGGGUAAAUUGGAAGGGGAGGUGAACCAUGAGAGACUAUGGACUCUGAAAAACAAUCUGAGGGGUUAGAAGUGGCGGGGGUGUGGGAGGUUGGGGUACCAGGUGGUGGGUAUUAUAGAGGGCACGGAUUUCAUGGAGCACUGGGUGUGGUGAAAAAGUAAUGAAUACUGUUAUUCUGAAAAUAAAUAAAUUGAAAAAAAAAAAAAAAAAAA